GACGAACGCUGGCGGCGUGCUUAACACAUGCAAGUCGAACGGUAAGGCCCUUCGGGGUACACGAGUGGCGAACGGGUGAGUAACACGUGGGUGAUGUGCCCUGCACUUCGGGAUAAGCCUGGGACACUGGGUCUAAUACCGGAUAGGACCACUGCCUGCAUGGGUGGUGGUGGAAAGCUUUUGCGGUGUAGGUUGGGCCGGCGGCCUAUCAGCUUGUUGGUGGGGUGAUGGCCUACCAAGUCGACGACGGGAAGGCGGCCGGAGCGGGUGACCGGCCACACUGGGACUGAGAUACGGCCCAGGCUCCUACGGGAGGCAGCAGUGGGGAAUAUUGCACAAUGGGCGCAAGCCUGAUGCAGCGACGCCGCGUGAGGGAUGACGGCCUUCGGGUUGUAAACCUCUUUCAGCACCGACGAAGCGCAAGUGACGGUAGGUGCAGAAGAAGGACCGGCCAACUACGUGCCAGCAGCCGCCGUAA
rnacentral:rRNA from 1 species